UACGAGGGGGGCGAGCGUUGUUCGGAAUUAUUGGGCGUAAAGGGCGCGUAGGCGGCCAACUAAGUCGGACGUGAAAUCCCCAGGCUCAACCUGGGAACUGCAUCCGAUACUGGAUGGCUUGAAUUCGGGAGAGGGAUGCAGAAUUCCAGGUGUAGCGGUGAAAUGCGUAGAUAUCUGGAGGAAUACCGGUGGCGAAGGCGGCAUCCUGGACCGACAUUGACGCUGAGGAGCGAAAGCCAGGGGAGCAAACGGG
rnacentral:rRNA from 1 species